CGCGCGCGUUGAACAUUCGAAGUGCAUUUAAACUGUGGAGGGAGUUACCAUGGAAACGGGGCGGCAACUCAGCUGACAAGUAGCAAAUCUCUCCGUCUCUCACUGUUGUUUUUACUGCUUUCAGAAAUGGUUCAGUGUCAUGGGAAUAAGUCCGUUAGCAUCACAACCGUGAGCUAACAGAGGCUAACUAUGAGAGCAGAGUUGGAGUGGACCUCUUGUUGAAGAACUUCUCCAGGCACCAUGAACCAUCUGACUAGCCAUCCUGUUUAACACUGCACUGAGGACACUACAACCAGAGAGAUGCUGUCAUGAAAUGCCAUGAAAAGGCAACUGCUGGACACCUGGGACAGGCCAUCAAUUCCAAGUUGGCAGAACUGAGGUU